CAAUCAUAUAUUUACUCACCGCUUGGUCAAAGAUUCUAAAUUUCAUAUCCAGAAAAUCUUGAAUAUCUCUUGAACUCUUCGAAAUACCCACAAGUCAAUCCGAGUGAAAUAUUCCUUGUAUUCAAGCGCUUUCGUGUACAAAAUUUCUUUUGAAUACGGUGAGUAGAAAUAUUUGAUUCCUUACCGCCAGGGCGGCCCUAGGGAUCAUUUUCCCCCAGUG